GCCGAAGUGGUGGAAUUGGUAGACACGCCAUCUUGAGGGGGUGGUGGGCAAAACCCGUGGGGGUUCAAAUCCCCCCUUCGGCACCA
rnacentral:tRNA from 1 species